GAUGAACGCUGGCGGCGUGCCUAAUACAUGCAAGUCGAGCGAACAGAUGAGGAGCUUGCUCCUCUGACGUUAGCGGCGGACGGGUGAGUAACACGUGGAUAACCUACCUAUAAGACUGGGAUAACUUCGGGAAACCGGAGCUAAUACCGGAUAAUAUAUUGAACCGCAUGGGGCAAUAGUGAAAGACGGUGUUGCUGGCACUUAUAGAUGGAUCCGCGCCGCAUUAGCUAGUUGGUAAGGUAACGGCUUACCAAGGCAACGAUGCGUAGCCGACCUGAGAGGGUGAUCGGCCACACUGGAACUGAGCCACGGUCCAGACUCCUACGGGAGGCAGCAGUAGGGAAUCUUCCGCAAUGGGCGAAAGCCUGGCGGAGCAACGCCGCGUGAGUGAUGAAGGUCUUCGGAUCGUAAAACUCUGUUAUUAGGGAAGAACAAAUGUGUAAGUAACUAUGCACGUCUUGACGGUACCUAAUCAGAAAGCCACGGCUAACUACGUG
rnacentral:rRNA from 1 species